rnacentral:piRNA from 1 species
UAAACUUACAAGGCUCGUAGACA